rnacentral:piRNA from 1 species
UGAAAGGAUAGUGUUCAGUAUGGAAG